rnacentral:rRNA from 1 species
UACGUAGGGUGCAAGCGUUGUCCGGAAUUAUUGGGCGUAAAGAGCUCGUAGGCGGUUUGUCGCGUCGGCUGUGAAAACCUGGGGCUCAACCCCGGGCCUGCAGCCGAUACGGGCAAACUAGAAUUCGGUAGGGGAGACUGGAAUUCCUGGUGUAGCGGUGAAAUGCGCAGAUAUCAGGAGGAACACCGGUGGCGAAGGCGGAUCUCUGGGCCAUUACUGACGCUGAGGAGCGAAAGCGUGGGGAGCGAACAGG